CUAUCCCCAGCUCAAGCAGGGGCUUCUGCUUCUGCACAGCUGGCCAGCAUUUGAUGACCCAGAGCCCCUCUGCAGGCUGGGGUCACGCUGGGAGCAAAGUGUUGGCCCUAUCCCCAGCUCAAGCAGGGGCUUCUGCUUCUGCACAGCUGGCCAGCAUUUGAUGACCCAGAGCCCCUCUGCAGGCUGGGGUCACGCUGGGAGCAAAGUGUUGGCCCUAUCCCCAGCUCAAGCAGGGGCUUCAGCUUCUGCACAGCUGGCCAGCAUUUGAUGACCCAGAGCCCCUCUGCAGGCUGGUGAGUGCCCACAACCGCAGCCCCUGGUGACAGCCCCCACACUGAG